rnacentral:rRNA from 1 species
GUGUCAGCAGCCGCGGUAAUACGAAGGUGGCUAGCGUUGUUCGGAAUCACUGGGCUUAAAGAGCACGUAGGCGGGCCUGAAAGCGUCUUGUGAAAUCCCUCGGCUCAACCGGGGAACUGCUGGGCGAACUACAGGUCUUGAGGCAAGUAGAGGUGCGUGGAACACUUGGUGGAGCGGUGAAAUGCGUAGAUAUCAAGUGGAACGCCGGUGGCGAAAGCGGCGCACUGGGCUUGUCCUGACGCUGAGGUGCGAAAGCCAGGGGAGCGAACGGGAUUAGAAACCCGUGUAGUCC